CAACGCUAUUUUUCAAACAUAUGGAAUUAAUUUCUACUAAGUACUCUCUAGUAAAGGAAUAUAGUUCCAUGAACAAAGCUAAGUCAAUGACUGAGUGCACGAAGUCCACUUCAAGCAAUCGCGAAUGACUUUCAGCUCCUGAUGAUUGGUCAUUGCUCGACGACAAUAAACCGAAACACCAUAUCAACCAGUUCAAUCUAGGCACAGCUACAGACGCCCUUCUGCUCAUACAACUUGGGAUCACGUGAACAUGGCUUUUAGUCCACACAUACACAUGCUCAGAACAGACAGUCUCUGAUGAUAGCUAGGUCUCGAGGAAAAGUCGCAGCAUAAAAUCAUCAAGAAACUGAGCGAUGAAAACUCACCCAACAAUCUGCAGCAUCAGAAGGACCCUAAGCACGUGUAGACGAUGACAACUCCAGACGUUGCAUGAAACACGACUGAGAUACGACGAUGACGAUGAGAGGAAAGACAUAACUUCUAGCGCUUCAGAAGUGCAUUAACAGUUCCUGAUGCGCAGUCUGAUCAACCCGGUCGGUGAACUUGGGGCAGAUGCACGUGAUGUCCUUUUUCUUCAAAAUAAAUUUAACAUCUCAUUUGCAACCGAAGUCACAGAAACUGAGUGCCUUUUGUACUGGUCUCCGAAAACUUACAAGAAUCUGCAUGAGAGAUGUCAUGAAUGAAAACGCAAACGUUGCUCUUAACGCUCGACAAGAACUCAGCUGAAUUUGUUAGUCGCAAAGCAGUUUUGUUUCAACAAGGAAAAGGGUGAAUUUGAACUGGGCUGUGCCGGGAAUAUAACAUCGACAUAUGUUCAUCUCAAACGUUGUUUCAAAUGGUAUAUAUGUCAUGGUUUCUGAUCUGUCAUGAAUGCGGUAACACAGGCUGGAGGACACUAAUUAGGGAUGGUGGAUGGAGAUUAAUAUAUGGCAAACCAACAAAUGGCUUCGGUGGGUUUUGAUAUAAUAGUUGAUAAAAUAGAAAAUAGAAAGAUGCAAUUUUUCUUUUUCUUGUGUGGGGUCCUGAAAACUCACCAGUUUUCUCAUUCAGUUCUGCAAGAGAGCCGACAACUCAUGCAAGGAAAGGAGGACUGAUGAAAUUGAAGUGCGUUGGUGGGUCUAUUAAAUUUAACAUAUGAGGGUCACCUGAAAGAUCAGGUCUCGACCAAUCUCUGUCAAUAUCUGAUACUUCAUCAUCCCCAGCUAUAUAGCAUGUUUCAUGCCGAAGAACAACCUUUUCUUUUUUCCUUUCACCAGUUUUGGAUUGAGGAAGACGACAUAUAUAAGAUAAAAAAUGCCAACAAAAUGUGGAGCAUUGAUAUGUGAAAAGCGCAAUAAUGCCAUGGACAUGAUGAUCUCCACACGGAGGAAUUUAAUGUGGUUCAGAGAGAGAGAGAGCGAGAGAGAGAGUUAUCAUUUGGUGUUUGUUGCCUCUAAGCUGAUCAAAGUGCAAGUUAGAGGACAUUGAUAAUGCACUAACAUUGCAUGAUACGAGUCGUCUUCUUCAAUUCAAAGAUAUGUCUUGGCUAUUGGCGAUAGUUCAAACUUCAAAAUGGAACAGAUAACAAAAAAAUUUAUAGCAGUUUCGAUCAUUCAGACUUGGAGAUCAAAGACAUACGUACCUUGAACAAGAAACUUCAUCAGAAAAUCAAAAAGAAAACCAAUCGAUACUCAUAUUAACACUUAUGCAUUAAAAACCCUAAAUUUCACAGUCGGUCUCACACCAAAAAAUCGAACAUCAAUCUCGACAGUCCCUAAUCAGAAACAAAUAUCCCGACGUCUGCCUUGCCCCAAAGGAAAAAAAAAUGCUCAUACAUAUAUAUAUAGAAAGUAGGGCGAAGAAAAGCCAGAGAGAUCAAAAGGUCAUACAUUUUUUAAUUAUGACGUCAAUGUN
rnacentral:lncRNA from 1 species